GAUGAACGCUGACAGAAUGCUUAACACAUGCAAGUCUACUUGAACUUCGGUUUGGGUGGCGGACGGGUGAGUAACGCGUAAAGAACUUGCCUCACAGUUAGGGACAACAUUUGGAAACGAAUGCUAAUACCUGAUAUUAUGAUUUUAGGGCAUCCUAGGAUUAUGAAAGCUAUAUGUGCUGUGAGAGAGCUUUGCGUCCCAUUAGCUAGUUGGAGAGGUAACGGCUCACCAAGGCGAUGAUGGGUAGCCGGCCUGAGAAGGUGAACGGCCACAAGGGGACUGAGACACGGCCCUUACGCCUACGGGAGGCAGCAGUGGGGAAUAUUGGACAAUGGACCAAAAGUCUGAUCCAGCAAUUCUGUGUGCACGAUGACGUUUUUCGGAAUGUAAAGUGCUUUCAGUUGGGAAGAAAAAAAUGACGGUACCAACAGAAGAAGUGACGGCUAAAUACGUG
rnacentral:rRNA from 1 species